UCCAUGUCCCUCUUCAUUAUAUUUGCUUGGCUAAAUUCCAAAUUUGAUUAUUUCCCAUUUUUGCUGCUUUGGCCUAUGAAGUCAGUCCAGCUAGAAGUGGCUGGAAACAUAAAAAACCAUGCUGGCGUGUCUUUCUUUAAAUUCAACUCUUGACCUCAAGGAGGUCCAUAAAACUGCCUGACAACCAUACUGUAUUUCUCUAGUACAUUCACCCUCCCACUCUACUAGAUGAUUAUUUCGCACCUUCUUCUUUCUCCUCACACAUCCAACACCUCUGCCCCCACUCACAGCAGACAACCUUGCUUCUUACUUUCCUGGCAAAACUGGAGCAAUCAGAAGAGAACUUCCACAAACUCCCACUUCCUCAAUCUACCCACCUUCCACCAUCUGCACCCAUAUAUUCUGCCUUCCUGCUGUUACUAAAGAUGAACCUAUGCUCCUCUUUCAAGCCAAUCUUUCCCUCACGUAAUUAAGAACACCUGACGGUCUCAGUGAAGGAAUAAAAAUACAUAAAUCCCACAAGAAACAAGAGAACACAGAAGCAAACCAUAGAUAAGAAGAAAAUUUGGCAAGUUUGAAAGAUCUCAUUUAUGUCAAGUCCAAAUACCAGAUGGAGGAGUAGUGACUGACUGCAGAGUGGAGUAAGCCCAGCCCACAUGCCCACAGCAGAAAGCCUACGAGAUUAAGAACAAACCCUGUCCAAUAUUCAAGACCUUCCUGGGUCCGGUCCCGGAUUCACUUCUCAGCUACCUUUCCCAUGAUGCUGCAUCUCUCACUUCCAGACAGGAAAAACAAGAGCUGUGAACUCCCAGGCAAUUCCCUUGAACUCAAGCUGGAAUCAGUGGCUCACCCUUAUAAAUUGGAACACACAUAUUUAGGACCAGCAUCCUCUAGAAGACUGGAGUCAAGGGCACUAGCAUCUUUCUGCUUCAACUUCAGGAAAAACAAUCUUUUUCCUUAAUUUCUAUUUGGAAAAUCCCAAAAGGAUCCUGAAUGACCACAUUUACAUAAUCUGCCCAUCCCUGGAAGAGCUGGGUAAGGCAAUAGUUCCCAAAAAGAAGUAGGGAAUGCUGUCAGCAGGAGAAGGGAGGGGUUCUAGAGAGACAAAACAAAAAGUAUACAUUACUGUAAUUAUCACAUACUAGCCCAACUAACAACAAAGUCCUUCUGUAUUACUUUGUUCCCUCUGCUUAAAACCUUCAGUAACUUUAUGAAGGCAAUGUGACCGGGCUGAGUCAAGAUUUCUGGAAUUUCUGGAAUCCUGAAGUUAAAAUCAAUAUUUCACCUGUGCUUCUAGUGCAGGUCAAGAAAUGAGUAUAAACUUUAGAAUGUGUAAGACGGUUUGGAACGCUUAUGAUGCAUAUGCUUUUUAAAAAAAAAAUAACAAAAAGGUGACAAAAUCUGAUUAUCAAAUUAAUUAGGACUCUUUUUGUUGUCAAUUAAAAGAGAAAAAAUAUAGACUCGCUGAAGCCAAAAUAAAGCUAUGGGCUCACAUAACUGAAAACUCCAGGGAUAAUUUCACUGCAGACACAAUUAGGUGCUGGGGCUCAGUGUUCUCAGAAUCCAGUCUCCUUGUUGCCGUCUCUUGUCUUUGUGUUCCUCUGUCUUGGCUCCUUUCACAGAUAGAUUGUACCCCCAUUCUGACUAUAUGGCUGCCUACAGCUCCAGGCUUCCACUCUAUCCUCUUACCGAUCCACAGUGGAAAUAACUUGCAUCUUUUCCUAAAGUUCCAAUAAAAGUCCUAGAAUUGGGUCUAAUUGCUUUUGAUGAUCUUGGCUUGGGCUAUGUCUCUGGCAGGCGUGGAGUCAACCCCACUGAAAUCACAUGAACUCAGAGAAGGAACCUGCAAUUCCCUCUGUUGAGUCAGGGUGCUUUUACUAGAGAAAGGGCAAGUGAUCCCUAGGAUCCCUAGGAUCAAUCUCUGAUACUCAGAUAAUUUGGGAACAAACAAACAAACUAUAAUUCCCCCCAUCCAAAUAUAACUAUUGUUAGUAUUUUGGCAAUAUACUUACAUUAUUUUUCAUAUGUAUGUUUUACAUGAUUAUAAUUAUAGUCUACUUAAAAUUUUCUCCUGAAUUGCCUAACAUUCUAUCAUAUACACUUUUCAUGUCUCUCUAUAAUUUUCCAACCAUAAUUUUAAUGGUUACACAUAAAAUAACUGUAAUUUACUCCCAUGGACACCAAGGCAGCUUCCUUUCCUUUAAAAGCUAUAAAUAAAGCUGCGAUAAGCAUCAUCAUGCAUACAGCUUUUUCUGUUGCUUAGAUGAUCUUAGAGUAGUUGAAUUUUCAAAAAGUUGAAUUACUCAAUUAAAAGGUACAUAUAUUUAUGACUUUCCAAAUUUUUCCCCUUUUCCAAAAAGGAUAAUGCUUAUUCAUAAUGCUAUCACAAUAUAUAAGUAGUAAUCAUAUCUAAAACGUUAAGUCCAAGAACACUGAAAUGUUAAACUGAAGAAGGUAGUAAAUGUCUCUGAGAGUAAUAAAAAUGCUUAUGAAGAGGAUAUUUAACCCUUGGAUUCUAUAUAAUUUUUCAGAAAUCAGUUAUAUCACACCACUCAGUCAUUAGUUGCACAUUUGUUCCUUUUGGAAAGUUACGUCAAUCAUAGAAGAACAAAAGUUGACAAGGACAUUAUUAAACAAAGUACUAUCAAUGACAAGGCAUGGGAUUAUAAAUUUCAGCCAUUCUCAUUUCUCUAAUAUCUUCUGCACAGUGUAGAUAAUUAAGCAUCUGGGCAAAAAUUUAGCCACAAGAACAUAUGUGACAAUCUUGUUAAUAAUGACAACAAAAUGGAGACAUGUCUGCUGAGCUUUAGAUGCCUUUCUCUACCUGUUUGCUACACAUCUCCAUCUCGAUGUUUGAAGGCAUUCUCAAAGUUAUGUCCAAAUUAGAAAUUAUUCUGGGGCUUAGCAUAGUGUCUAGCAUGUAGAAAAUGCUUAAAUGUCUGUCUGAUGAAUGAAUCAAUACAUGAAUUUUUUCCAAUAAAUACACUUCACUUCCUAUAAUCCAUUGUGCUGAACUGUUUUUCAUCUACCCUGUUACACAAACCAGAAACCUCAUCAUCCUAGAGUCCACCUUUUUAUUAUUUUGAUUUGUCAACAAAUUCUCCACUUUAGAAACACCAUAGUCCCUACUCUCCAAACCAUGUCCAUUGUCCUAGUUCACCUCAUCACCAUCUCUCACUUGGAUUAUUACCACAACUUCUUCCUUGGCCUCCUGCUUCUAAUCUCAGACUUCUUUUACUUUCCUAACAGUAAGCUUUCUAAAACUUAAGAGCCAAUUAACCUACUCUUCUCAGAAUCCCACAAUGGCUCACCAUACACAGGGCAAAAUUUGAAACCACCUAGCAUGGCUAGUAAGACCCUUCAUAUCACUUGACCACUGCCUAUCUGCUUAGCAUCACUUCUCAUCUCUCCACACAUCCUGACCACACCUAUUCCACUUCACCCUGCAGCAAUACUGAACUUACCACAACCCUCUCAAUUUCUACUGGUCUUUCAUACUUCUGUACUUCUGUACAUGAUAUCAAAACUGCCUGUUUAGAAUGCCCUCUCUCUCUACUUUGAGAGGCUGACAGUGAAUUUUCACUUUUUCUUCAAUAUUCAUCUUAAGAGAAAGUCCUUUGGAAAUAUUAAAGAGGAGGUCAGGUGAGGACAGAAUCAGCUAUACGUCUCUGUUGCAUACCUAUGUAUAAAGGCACUGGUUGAAGCUAUCAGAGUGGAAUAAUUCCCGGGAUGGCAUGCAAUGAGAGACAGGCAGCGAGCCAUAUUAGAAUGCAGAGGAAGAAAAAACUCAAGAAAACUAAGAGGAGCACAGACAGAUGCAAUCUUCCAGAAGCCAAGAAAAAGUAGAGUUUUAAACAGAAUGAGGUAACAAAAACUGUCCUCUACAGCAGAGAAAUGGAGUAAGAUGAUGAUUUCAAAGUAUUCAUUAGCUUUGGUAUUUAAAAGGCUUUCACGUAAUCUUAGAGCAGUUUCAGUGGAAGGUGGGAUCAAAAUCUGACUACAGUGGAUUAGUUGAAGAAGAAAUGAAGUUGACAACUGUAGACUAUACUUUUCUCUCCAGGGCUCGAAAGAAAAAGAUGGAAAAUAAGCCAUUGGGUGGUGACUCGGGGGGUGGAUGCUAUAAAGGGAUUUUUUAAAAAAUAGGAAAUAUUAGUAAGCGCAGAGGACGUGGGAAUUAUGAAAGAUACAGUUCUGAGAUAAAGAUCCCCAAAGAGGCUA